CAAAAAUUACUCUUCAGUGGAAAGCUAUGUAUUGUUCAUCUUCCAGGCUGUCUUCCUCCAGCCCUACAACAAAAUUCAGUUUGUUGUCUUUGAGCUAUUUUGCAGGCGUUUGUAAACUGAAGGUAAUUGAUAGUUAUGCAAAGUCUGUCUUGUUCAGUAGACUUCCUUGUCACCUGUGGAAAAACCAGUUUUGCCUCCAUUUACAAUUCAAUUCCUUUACUCUCUAUAAAUUUGUGCUUUUUGGUUUUUCCUUUGAACUAGUUAUAAACAUCUGCCUGUGUUAAAGAAAAAAUUCUUCUGACACUUGUAAAAAUGGUACAGAAGACUUUACCCAGCACUAUUGUGAUAGGUGUCAAGACUAUUGUUAUAGGGGAGAGAUAGUGGGCUCAAUUCCAAAUACAGCAAAGACAGCUGGGGAUUUAUAGCCAGCCAGCCGAGUGAGGGGGUCAGUGGAUGAAAAAUUACUAAGAGGAGACAUCAAGGGUAGGGAGAUUCUAGCUAAACCAACAACAGGAUUCUUGUUGAAGGCAGGCCAGAGCGAGAAGGUAUCAGGGGCGGGGGAAUUCUCUGUAAACGUCCUAGCAAGAUUCUAGCUAAAACUGAGCUCUGCAGGCCCAUCAAGGCCUGGGGAUCCAAGGUGGAGGCCUAAUUGGCAGUAAGCCUCCGUGGUCACAGAGAGUCUUUGUUCAUCUUGAUCUCUCAUAAUGAGUCAAAUAAAAACUUUAAACGCAUAUUCAUUUUCAUAUCUGUAUGAAAGAUGUGAUGUUACAUUUUUUCUGAAAAUUGUCUUUUAACACAGACAAAGCGUUUCUUGUAGUGUCUACCAAACAAACACAUCUAGGACAUAUCUUGCUUAUUAACUGAAUUAUCUUUUUAAAAACUCUGAAUUCUCAAGACUAUGAGAAAAGAAGCAUGCCAAUUUUUAUAUAAAAAAUUCAAAUAUUAGAGGAAUAUAUCUUAUAAGCAGUAGAGCAACAAAUACACCACAUCAUUUUUUCCUAUACAUAGCUACCAAAUUUAGCAAAGUUAGUUAAUUAAAAGAAGAAAAUAGGAGCUGGGCUGGUGGCAGAGCGGUUAAAUUUGUGUGCUCUGCUUUGGUGGCCCAGGGUUCACAGGUUUGGAUCCCAGGCACGGAUCUAGCACCGCUUGUCAAGCCGUGCUGUGGUGGCAUCCCACAUAAAAUAGAGGAAGACUGGCACAGAUGUUAACUCAUGGAUCACCUUCCUCAAGCAAAAAGGAAGAUUGGCAACAGAUGUUAGCUCAGGGUCAAGCUUCUUCACAAAACAAAAAAGAAGAAGAAAAUAAAAGGGGAAGACACUACAUGUAAUUUCUGUAUAAAACACAUUUACAUAAGAUGAACAUUUCAGGAAAUAGAAAGUCUUAAAUUUUGAUUAUGCUAGUUCCAUUUAGUUAGAAAAUAGUUACCAUGGAAAUAGUGAGUGUAUAUGGUAUUUCACUUCCACGCUAAGACAGCUUCUAAAAGGAGUGCAUUUAGUGAACUCUUGUUCUUGACAUAGUUUGAAAGUAGAAGUGGCUCAUAAAGAAUAUAGCAUUUCAGGUUAGAUUCAUUAUAUUGGUAUAACUGUAUGAUUUUCUCAUUUCAUGAUAAAAUAAUUUGAAUAAACCUGACCUCUUUUAGAGAUUUUUAUAACCUAUAUACAUUAUAUAGUUUUACUCCUAAACUAGGGCCAUAUUACCGUUUCGAUUAUAGAUUUUUCUUUAGCAUCAGAUUUUUGGGUGGAUUUCCACUCCCAGCUUGGGACAUAGUUGAAUCAAUCAAAAAAUGUUUGAUGAAGAUGUUGAUGCAAAGUCAGAGGACACCUGGAAUGUGGGACUCAGACCAGGAAAUUGGUUUUCCUGAAAGUUUUCAAGCUCGAGGUUCUUAAUCUCAAGGGCUCAGUUACUAAUUUCGUAUCUCCACGUUUCCUUGGGGCAAGUCAUGACACAGGUUGUAAAGACUGGCCUGGCUGAAGCUGGCCUCUGUCCCUUGUGUUCCAUUGCAGGCUCGCCAUCCUCCCCAGCUUCACUUCUCCAUCUGUCAGCAACACUCAGCUUCACUCACUCCUCCAGAUUCUCUUAUGUUGUCCAAAAACAAUCACUUAUCUGAGCCAAGGCAUGCAUUGAUUCUGCGUAAGAGGGAGGAGUGCCCAACCUGCUCAGAGAGAUGGGUGAAGUUCCCACACUUUGUCGGCCAGUGACUUCACUCUCCCCCUCUCACUGGAAACGGUGGCCUGCAUUCUCCCCCGCCUUGCGGCCUUUGAAAACACAGGCAGAGAAGGUCUUCCUUGGAACUGAGCUGUGCCGCCUUGGAGUACAAGUGACACAGAUGUAAACAAAUUCCACAUACUUAAGAAGGAUCCUGGCUUUCUUCAUGGAUAAAGUAUAUUUAAUAUAGUGAAGGGUAAUGGAUGAACCUUGAAGACAUUAUGCUAUGGGAAAUAAGCCAGACAGAAGAAGACAACUAUAAUAUGAUUCCACUAUGUGAAGUACCUGGAACAGUCAAAUUCACACAAACAGAAGGUAGGCUAGUGGUUACCAGGGUCUUAGGAGAGGG
ensembl:lncRNA